ensembl:snRNA U6 U6 spliceosomal RNA
GUGCUCCCUUGGGCAGCACACAUGCUAAAAUUGGAAGGAUACAGAGAAGAUCAGCAUGGCCCCUGCGCAAGGAUGACACGCAAU